UACGGAGGAUGCGAGCGUUAUCCGGAUUUAUUGGGUUUAAAGGGUGCGUAGGCGGGAUGCCAAGUCAGCGGUAAAAAUGCGGUGCUCAACGCCGUCGAGCCGUUGAAACUGGCGUUCUUGAGUGGGCGAGGAGUAUGCGGAAUGCGUGGUGUAGCGGUGAAAUGCAUAGAUAUCACGCAGAACUCCGAUUGCGAAGGCAGCACACCGGCGCCCUACUGACGCUGAGGCACGAAAGCGUGGGUAUCGAACAGG
rnacentral:rRNA from 1 species